GAUGAACGCUGGCGGCGUGCCUAAUACAUGCAAGUCGAGCGAACGGACGAGAAGCUUGCUUCUCUGAUGUUAGCGGCGGACGGGUGAGUAACACGUGGAUAACCUACCUAUAAGACUGGGAUAACUUCGGGAAACCGGAGCUAAUACCGGAUAAUAUUUUGAACCGCAUGGUUCAAAAGUGAAAGACGGUCUUGCUGUCACUUAUAGAUGGAUCCGCGCUGCAUUAGCUAGUUGGUAAGGUAACGGCUUACCAAGGCAACGAUGCAUAGCCGACCUGAGAGGGUGAUCGGCCACACUGGAACUGAGACACGGUCCAGACUCCUACGGGAGGCAGCAGUAGGGAAUCUUCCGCAAUGGGCGAAAGCCUGACGGAGCAACGCCGCGUGAGUGAUGAAGGUCUUCGGAUCGUAAAACUCUGUUAUUAGGGAAGAACAUAUGUGUAAGUAACUGUGCACAUCUUGACGGUACCUAAUCAGAAAGCCACGGCUAACUACGUGCCAGCAGCCGCGGUAAUACGUAGGUGGCAAGCGUUAUCCGGAAUUAUUGGGCGUAAAGCGCGCGUAGGCGGUUUUUUAAGUCUGAUGUGAAAGCCCACGGCUCAACCGUGGAGGGUCAUUGGAAACUGGAAAACUUGAGUGCAGAAGAGGAAAGUGGAAUUCCAUGUGUAGCGGUGAAAUGCGCAGAGAUAUGGAGGAACACCAGUGGCGAAGGCGACUUUCUGGUCUGUAACUGACGCUGAUGUGCGAAAGCGUGGGGAUCAAACAGGAUUAGAUACCCUGGUAGUCCACGCCGUAAACGAUGAGUGCUAAGUGUUAGGGGGUUUCCGCCCCUUAGUGCUGCAGCUAACGCAUUAAGCACUCCGCCUGGGGAGUACGACCGCAAGGUUGAAACUCAAAGGAAUUGACGGGGACCCGCACAAGCGGUGGAGCAUGUGGUUUAAUUCGAAGCAACGCGAAGAACCUUACCAAAUCUUGACAUCCUUUGACAACUCUAGAGAUAGAGCUUUCCCCUUCGGGGGACAAAGUGACAGGUGGUGCAUGGUUGUCGUCAGCUCGUGUCGUGAGAUGUUGGGUUAAGUCCCGCAACGAGCGCAACCCUUAAGCUUAGUUGCCAUCAUUAAGUUGGGCACUCUAAGUUGACUGCCGGUGACAAACCGGAGGAAGGUGGGGAUGACGUCAAAUCAUCAUGCCCCUUAUGAUUUGGGCUACACACGUGCUACAAUGGACAAUACAAAGGGCAGCGAAACCGCGAGGUCAAGCAAAUCCCAUAAAGUUGUUCUCAGUUCGGAUCGUAGUCUGCAACUCGACUACAUGAAGCUGGAAUCGCUAGUAAUCGUAGAUCAGCAUGCUACGGUGAAUACGUUCCCGGGUCU
rnacentral:rRNA from 1 species